rnacentral:lncRNA from 1 species
GGGUGGCUUUGCUCAUGUCUGUCAUCUCUGGGUUCACUUCCAGAUUGGACAGAAGGGGUCACCUCUGCCCAGGGACCUCCAAGGGCCCAGCACCUCCAUGCUCCAUGUCUGUGGACAGCGCCUAGCACCUCCCUCACAGGGCCAGUGUGACCGACAGAAGCGCUCCGGACCGCGGUUGCUCUGGGUGUUGGGUCUCUGCGGCCACCCCUCUUCCUGCUGCGCUUCCCGACCACAGUUUGCCUCAGAAACACCAGGAAGCUCCCUCUGUACCAACUCCUGCUUGGUCCCCUCGGAGAUGCUGAUGUGAACUUUUCCAGCAGAGGAAGUGAUCCUCCCGUAGGCUUCCGUGCCCCCGGCCUUGGCAGCAAAUCUCUCCGAGGACCGGAAACCCAGUCUGGCCAGUUGUGCUGGGCUCAGCGAAAACGGGAAAGGUGCAAUCCCUCAGGGAGAGGAGGUGAGUCCCGGCAAGAGGACACCGUUGCGAACGUGUGGGGGAAGACGUCACUCCCAGUUUAGAUCCCACACCCUUGACUUCCUUGUGCAGAUGUGCAGCGAGCCCAGCAGCCCCAUCCGGGCUCUCGGGGCGGGGGGGCGGGGAGGGGAAGGCGCAUACUGUCCCCCAGCCUGAGCCCAGGCUCGAGUGCCGGGAUGCCGCCUGGCAGGUGCAGCAUGAGGAUGGGGAGCGGGCAGACGAGGCCGGGAAGAAGGAGCCACAAAGGGUCCGCGCGUCAGGGUCGAACCGGCCCCACAGAAGCUCUCCAC